rnacentral:rRNA from 1 species
UAGCUAGUUGGUGGGGUAAGGGCCUACCAAGGCGACGAUCGGUAGCUGGUCUGAGAGGAUGACCAGCCACACUGGAACUGAGACACGGUCCAGACUCCUACGGGAGGCAGCAGUGGGGAAUAUUGGACAAUGGGGGGAACCCUGAUCCAGCAAUGCCGCGUGUGUGAAGAAGGCCUGAGGGUUGUAAAGCACUUUCAGUGGGGAGGAGGGUUGAUAGGUUAAGAGCUAAUUAACUGGACGUUACCCACAGAAGAAGCACCGGCUAACUCCGUGCCAGCAGCCGCGGUAAUACGGAGGGUGCGAGCGUUAAUCGGAAUUACUGGGCGUAAAGCGUGCGUAGGUGGUUGAUUAAGUUAUCUGUGAAAUCCCUGGGCUUAACCUGGGCAGGUCAGAUGAUACUGGUUGACUCGAGUAUGGGAGAGGGUAGUGGAAUUUCCGGUGUAGCGGUGAAAUGCGUAGAGAUCGGAAGGAACACCAGUGGCGAAGGCGGCUACCUGGCCUAAUACUGACACUGAGGCACGAAAGCGUGGGGAGCAAACAGGAUUAGAUACCCUGGUAGUCCACGCUGUAAACGAUGUCAACUAGCUGUUGGUUAUAUGAAAAUGAUUAGUGGCGC